CGGGUGAUAGGGAUAGGAGACGGGCGAUAGGAGACAGGUGAUAGGGAUAGGAGACAGGUGAUAGGGAUAGGAGACAGGCGAUAGGGAUAGGAGACGGGUGAUAGGGAUAGGAGACGGGCGAUAGGGAUAGGAGACAGGUGAUAGGGAUAGGAGACAGGCGAUAGGGAUAGGAGACGGGUGAUAGGGAUAGGAGACGGGUGAUAGGGGUGGAAGAGGGGUGAGAGAGGGGAGAUAGGGGGAUAGAGGUGGGAGAGGGGUGAUAGGGAUAGGAGACAGGUGAUAGGGAUAGGAGACAGGUGAUAGGGCUGGGAGAGGGGUGAUGAGGAGGGGGGAUAGGGUGAUAGGGAUAGGAGACAGGUGAUAGGGAUAGGAGACAGGUGAUAGGGAUAGGAGACAGGUGAUAGGGAUAGGAGACGGGCGAUAGGGAUAGGAGACGGGUGAUAGGGAUAGGAGAC
ensembl:lncRNA